CCUACGGGGGGCAGCAGUAGGGAAUAUUGCUCAAUGGGGGAAACCCUGAAGCAGCAACGCCGCGUGGAGGAUGAAGGUUUUCGGAUUGUAAACUCCUUUUGUCAGAGAAGAUAAUGACGGUAUCUAACGAAUAAGCACCGGCUAACUCCGUGCCAGCAGCCGCGGUAAUACGGAGGGUGCAAGCGUUACUCGGAUUCACUGGGCGUAAAGAGCGCGUAGGCGGGAUAGCAAGUCAGAAGUGAAAUCCUAUGGCUUAACCAUAGGACUGCAUUUGAAACUGGUAUUCUAGAGUAUUGGAGAGGUAGGUGGAAUUCUUGGUGUAGGGGUAAAAUCCGUAGAGAUUAGGAGGAAUACUCGUGGCGAAGGCGACCUGCUAGAACAUGACUGACACUGAUGCGCGAAAGCGUGGGGAGCAAACAGGAUGAGAUACCCGUGUAGUC
rnacentral:rRNA from 1 species